rnacentral:rRNA from 1 species
CAGCCGCCGCGGGAAUACGGAGGGUGCGAGCGUUAAUCGGAAUAACUGGGCGUAAAGGGCACGCAGGCGGUUAUUUAAGUGAGGUGUGAAAGCCCCGGGCUUAACCUGGGAACUGCAUUUCAGACUGGGUAACUAGAGUAUUUUAGGGAGGGGUAGAAUUCCACGUGUAGCGGUGAAAUGCGUAGAGAUGUGGAGGAAUACCGAAGGCGAAGGCAGCCCCUUGGGAAUGUACUGACGCUCAUGUGCGAAAGCGUGGGGAGCAAACAGGAUUAGAUACCCCGGUAGUCCCUGUCUCUUAUAC